rnacentral:misc_RNA from 1 species
UUUCCGUAGGUGAACCUGCGGAAGGAUCAUUCAUAAUAAAGUGUUUUAUGGCACUUUUUAAAAAUCCAUAUCCACCUUGUGUGCAAUGUUAGAUCUCGUCAAUCUUGGCGAGAUUUUUAUACAUCAACUCAUUCUUUAACCAAUUUGACUGAAAAAUAUUAUGAAUACUUAAUUCAAAAUACAACUUUCAACAACGGAUCUCUUGGCUCUC